CACGUAUCCAACCUUCCGUUUACUCAGGGAUAGCCUUUCGAAAGAAAGAUUAAUACCUGAUAGUAUGGUGAGAUUGCAUGAUAACACCAUUAAAGAUUUAUUGGUAAACGAUGGGGAUGCGUUCCAUUAGGUAGUAGGCGGGGUAACGGCCCACCUAGCCUGCGAUGGAUAGGGGUUCUGAGAGGAAGGUCCCCCACAUUGGAACUGAGACACGGUCCAAACUCCUACGGGAGGCAGCAGUGAGGAAUAUUGGUCAAUGGGCGAGAGCCUGAACCAGCCAAGUAGCGUGAAGGAUGAAGGUCCUACGGAUUGUAAACUUCUUUUAUACGGGAAUAAAGUUUCCUACGUGUAGGAUUUUGUAUGUACCGUAUGAAUAAGCAUCGGCUAACUCCGUGCCAGCAGCCGCGGUAAUACGGAGGAUGCGAGCGUUAUCCGGAUUUAUUGGGUUUAAAGGGAGCGCAGACGGGAGAUUAAGUCAGUUGUGAAAGUUUGCGGCUCAACCGUAAAAUUGCAGUUGAUACUGGUUUCCUUGAGUGCAGUUGAGGCAGGCGGAAUUCGUGGUGUAGCGGUGAAAUGCUUAGAUAUCACGAAGAACCCCGAUUGCGAAGGCAGCUUGCUAAACUGUAACUGACGUUCAUGCUCGAA
rnacentral:rRNA from 1 species